CAGUGAUUUGAGGAUUAUUGC
rnacentral:miRNA from 1 species